GAACACUGCAGGCCAGCAGUCAGCAUCUUGUGUGGAUUCCAGGCUACUGAAUUUGCUCUUGUCAUAGACACAGAAAAACACACGCCAUUAGCUAUGAAAUGUUUAUAUCUUUUAUAUGACCACAUCUGGACAACUGUGUAGCUCUACUUAGGUGCAGGUAAAAUGUUGCCAUACUCAUUAU